CCUGUUUUAUUUGAAACAUGGUGAGUAACUGAGUAUCAGGGUGCGAACAACAACUUGUAUUUCAUAGAAGGGAGCAUUCUAGUCCCAUGGUUCUUGAUUUACAGUGUCAACAGAUUUAUACUGAACUUGUACGUAUACCUAUCUGUCAUUUCUACUGAAAAAAACAUAAUUCAAUAUGGUUUGGUAGAGGAUUAAAGUUAAAUUCGUUAUACUAACUGUUGUUUGAUGGCCCUCAUUUUUCCAUUUCACAACUUAUUUAGCAAUGAAAAUCAACAUGUGUGUAGAGUCUAUCAGAUGACAUGCUGCUUGUUGGCAUCCUUCUAGUGACGCAGACAUGUAGGAAUGGACCUUUCUUAAUUCUACAGCUAGCUUCUCUUGAGCAUUCUAGCUCAACAUUCUACUGUAAGUCUGUAUUAAAAGGUUUAUUCUGUUCUUCUGUCCACACAAAUUUACUUCCCUAUGUAAGUUGCCUAGAAAACUUAGUACAGAACCUGCCAUUGGCAGGCAAAGUCUUUGUUUGCAGUGGGUGAAACAUUAGUCUUAGUUAAUAAUUGAACGAAUAGGAAUAUAGGAUAAACAUGAUGUAUGCAUGUUUGAUUGUUUGAAGUUAUCAUUCUACCCUUAAAUCACCAACUGAGAUGGUUAUAAUUCAGUAUCAGAUUGCCCAUCUUAAUAGUGAGAUGGAGCAUUCAGGAAGACAUGCUAGAUUUCCUUAUUCUCAUUGUGCACAUGUUAAAAAUUGUUGUAUCUAAACAUAGUUGGCAAUAUUAUUGAGGACACUACACUGCGUCCCUCCAAUUGAUGUUUUGUCCUCUCGGACCUUAAAUCCCACACUUUCAUGUAAAGUUAUAUUAUGUUACCCCAAUAAGGUUGCUUUUGUAACUGAUUGAAGCUAAUUCUCAGUGGCAAACAUAUUCACCACUGAUGGGAAUACACAUCGGAUCAAAAUUGUGGCUGUGAUUUCUCAGUAUAUAUUAGUGCUCAUAUUUUACUUCUAAAGUGGUUCUGUUGUUGUUCUGAAUAAGUGAUACACAACGGUUCUGCUUUUUUUUUAAAAAAAAACAGAUAAUUCGUCCCUUCUCCCAUAUGGAUAUUGAUGAAGUCAGGUUGUAAGAUUACUAACAAGUAAUGUUCCUGAAAGAAAACAAGGUUUCGUCCAAGUCAGGUGUUCAUUUUGUAGAUACAUUAUUCUAUUCUUUGAGUUAACUCAUCCUAUCUUUGUUCUUAGUUGAUCUCCACUAAGGUCACUCUCAAUCAUGUGACUCAUAGUUUCAUACAAGUUGUUCCAGGCCGACAAUAGUUGUAGAUGAGUGCAGAUAAUGAUCAUUUCUGAAGCAAACUGAUAUGAUAAGGACUCUUUUCCUGUGGCUUCACAUGAGUGCAUGAACAAUGGAAAUGAAAGUUCAGUUGCAAUGUUGGCCCUUCAUUGUUGUCAAACUCACAAUAAUACAGGUAUGAAGUGGUGAAAUACCAACUGUGAAGAUAUUUUGAGUGCCUAUCAGGUCAUCGUGUUAGAGUUUUGCCCACAUCAAAGACUAGUAGACUAUUGUCCCCUGAUUAUGGAUGUGCCACGGCAGGUUGGCACACAGUAGAAUAUGCUAGUGGUGGGGAUAUGGCCAGGAAAGAAACAUCUCAGGUUUACAUGCUUGCCACUAAGUCCGAUAUCAUUCGAGGGAUCUUCCAUUGGGACAUGGCAUCUUCACAAAGUGCUACGUUGGGAUAUUUGCAGACUGCGAAAACUAACCUUCAUGGUGGAAGCACUUGCCACUACCCAGACAUACUAGCAGGGGCACUUUCUACUGUCAAUCUCUGCCCGAUUGUAUUUGCUGUCAUAAUUAUUAGUGCGUGACAGGGCCUCGGUAAAAUCCUGUUCGCUGGGAAAGAUGGCACACCCAAAACUGUUGGCUGGCAAGCCUUUUCCAGGUUACUAGAUUUGCAAAAAGGUUCUGGGCUGCUUGCCUUCUGCGCCCACCGACCACAGAGGCACACGCCCUGAGUGGUGGGCCAGCUGUUUUUCCAUUCCCAAUUUGGGGUCACCACUCACUCUUCUAUGGUUCCUAGGUCCCACUCCCACCAUGAGCAAUCUGGCAAAGCAUGUGCUCUGAUCCCUCCAUAUUUCAAAAGGGUCACAAUGAAGUGGUGCGCAUGACAGCCUUAGAAAUACUGGCACGGCUGCUAGGAGUACAGAGUUCAACUACUAGUCUCCAGUGGAAAGGUGUACAACAGAGUAUUAUACAGUUCAGAAUGCCUGGUCAGCCUAAUGAAAUUUCUAGUUGGUAUGUGGAUGUAUGAAGAAGGAAUCAUGCUGAUACCACAGCAAGGACAAUUACACCAUAACUUGUUCAUUCCAAGGCAAUGCGCUAGAUUUCAGGUACCGGACCGCACCGAACCCAGUUGAGACCGUCAUCCUGGGUGCGUGAGCGGGUUGGAUUGGAACGGUUUCAAACCCGGACAUAUUUGCACAGAGUAGAUGGUCUGCGGUUUCGACCCGUUGAACCGGUUGAAACCUGCCUUCUUCCUGCGUCCUUCGCCAGCCACGCGUAUCACAGCCUGCGAGGCUGCGACUGCGAGUGGCUCCCUGCUUGCUAGCACGGUGGCGAGCGGUGCGCACGUGCUAGCGUGGAGUGGCCAUAUUGCUGGUGCCUAUAGCUAGCUGCAGGUUAUCCAUAUUCAUUAGGAGCUUCAGUGCAUUGCAUGCUUGCCUGUUGGCGGUAGUCUCUCGUGUGCGGGGUCGAGCGCGUCUUGUAAAGCGAACUGCUGCCGGUGAAACCAGCUGCCCAAACCAACCCAACAUAUUAAUUAAGCCGUUACAAACCCGUCCAAAUCCAGCCCGCACCGGACCAUCAUAAUUAUCUUGGUUUGGGUUGGAAAUAAACCAGAAACCAUUAAAACCGAACCAUGAACAGGGUGGGUUAUUCAUUCAAGAUAUAUGAUGUAACGACACAAUGGUGCACCUAGGUUGCACCUUCAACCUGUGUGUUUCAUUGGAUGUCAAUUGUCAAGCUUAAUCAUAGCUUCCAUUUCCUGACUUAAUGGUUUGGUUCCCCACUCUUCAGUGCUGUUUACCCACUUUGCUUUUGCGUAUUGAACUCUUCUUCCAUUUCAGGAGGGCAUGCCUUUCAGGAGCCCUAAUACUAGAGUUGUAUAUACUCUUACUGGAAGCUACCAAGCUGGGAAUCCUUGGAUUAUUCUUAAUCUACCUGGACGCCUGGACCAGUUACAUGCGAGUGCUCCUAUUUCUAGUCGUCCCUAUUCCUCCAGACAGGCCAGACACCUGUAGAACUUUUAUUUGAUGUUGGUGACUGAAUGCUACUUUAUUCAACCAUGUACUAUCUAACCCAUUACUGGCACUAUCAAAAUCAUGGAUUUGUUCAGGUGA